GCACCAGCCACGGCUGUGCAUAUACUAAAAUUGGAUUACGAUACAGAGAAGAUUAGCAUGGCCCUCGCGCAGAGAUGACACGCAAAAUCGUGAAGCGGAUCCAAUUUUU
rnacentral:snRNA from 1 species